GAUGAACGCUGGCGGCGUGCCUAAUACAUGCAAGUCGAGCGAACAGACGAGGAGCUUGCUCCUCUGACGUUAGCGGCGGACGGGUGAGUAACACGUGGAUAGCCUACCUAUAAGACUGGGAUAACUUCGGGAAACCGGAGCUAAUACCGGAUAAUAUAUUGAACCGCAUGGUUCAAUCGUGAAAGACGGUUUUGCUGUCACUUAUAGAUUGAUCCGCGCCGCAUUAGCUAGUUGGUAAGGUAAUGGGUUACCAAGGCAACGAUGCGUAGCCGACCUGAGAGGGUGAUCGGCCACACUGGAAGUGAGACACGGCCCAGACACCGACGGGAGGCAGCAGUAGGGAAUCUUCCGCGAUGGGCGAAAGCCUGACGGAGCAACGCCGCGUGAGUGAUGAAGGUGUUCGGAUCGUAGAACUCUGUUAGUAGGGAAGAACAAAUGUGUAAGUAACUAUGCACGUCUUGACGGUACCUAAUCAGAAAGCCACGGCUAACUACGUG
rnacentral:rRNA from 1 species